rnacentral:rRNA from 1 species
ACGGGGUGCAGCAGGCGCGAAAUCUUCACAAUGUGCGAAAGCACGAUGAGGGAAUCCCAAGUGCUAGCACGUAAGUGUUAGCUGUUUCUUAGUCUAAAAAACUGAGAGAGUAAGAGCUGGGUAAGACGGGUGCCAGCCGCCGCGGUAAUACCUGCAGCUCAGGUGGUGGCCGCUAUUAUUGGGCCUAAAACGUCCGUAGCCUGUUUAGUAAAUGCUUGGGUAAAUUGUGUAGCUUAACUAUACGAACACCGGGUAGACUACUAAACUUGGGACCGGGAGAGGCUAGAGGUACUCCUAGGGUAGAGGUGAAAUUCUGUAAUCCUAGGGGGACCACCAGUGGCGAAGGCGUCUAGCUAGAACGGGUCUGACGGUGAGGGACGAAGCCCUGGGGCGCGAACCGGAUUAGAUACCCGGGUAGUCCAGGGUGUAAACGCUGCUUGCUUGAUGUUAGUUGGGCUCCGAGCCCAACUAGUGUCGGAGAGAAGUUGUUAAGCAAGCUGCCUGGAAGUACGUCGCAAGAC